UACGGAGGGUGCGAGCGUUGUUCGGAAUCACUGGGCGUAAAGCGCACGCAGGCGGAUCGAUAAGUCGGGGGUGAAAGCCCGGGGCUCAACCUCGGAAUUGCCUUCGAUACUGUCGGUCUCGAGUCCGGGAGAGGUGAGUGGAAUUCCUAGUGUAGAGGUGAAAUUCGUAGAUAUUAGGAAGAACACCAGUGGCGAAGGCGGCUCACUGGCCCGGUACUGACGCUCAGGUGCGAAAGCGUGGGGAGCAAACAGG
rnacentral:rRNA from 1 species